GACGAACGCUGGCGGCGUGCUUAACACAUGCAAGUCGAACGCUGAAGCUCAGCUUGCUGGGUGGAUGAGUGGCGAACGGGUGAGUAACACGUGAGUAACCUGCCCUCUUCUUUGGGAUAACGCCCGGAAACGGGUGCUAAUACUGGAUAUUCACUGAUUCUCGCAUGGGGGUUGGUGGAAAGGUUUUUUCUGGUGGGGGAUGGGCUCGCGGCCUAUCAGCUUGUUGGUGGGGUGAUGGCCUACCAAGGCUUUGACGGGUAGCCGGCCGGAGAGGGUGACCGGUCACAUUGGGCAUGAGCCACGGCCCAGACGCAUACGGCAGGCGGCAGUGGGGAAUAUUGCGCGAUGGGCGGAAGCCUGAUGCAGCGGCGCGGCGUGAGGGAUGGAGGCCUUCGGGUUGUAAACCUCUUUCGCGCAUGGUCAUGCCGCAGCUUUGGGUUGUGGUGACGGUAGUGGGUAAAGAAGCGCCGGCUAACUACGUG
rnacentral:rRNA from 1 species